rnacentral:tRNA from 1 species
GCCUCGGUGGUGAAAUUGGUAGACACAAGGGACUUAAAAUCCCUCGACCUUACGGUUGUGCCGGUUCGACCCCGGCCCGAGGCACCA